AGUGGAUGGGGAGCAACCUAGUUGUGCGUGUGUAAAGGUAGUGCCAAGAAAAGCGGUGAUCAUGAUGAAAAUCAAUUCCCGGUACCCGAAACCGACACAGGUGGGCAAGUAGAGAAUACUAAGGGGCGCGAGGUAACUCUCUCCAAGGAACUCGGCAAAAUGACCCCGUAACUUAGGGAGAAGGGGUGCCACCGAGAGGUGGUCGCAGUGAAGAGGCCCAGGCGACUGUUUAGCAAAAACAUAGGUCUCUGCAAACUCGAAAGAGGAGGUAUAGGGGCUGACGCCUGCCCAGUGCCGGAAGGUUAAAGAAGUUGGUCAGUCUUAGGAUGAAGCUAGCGACUGAAGCCCCGGUGAACGGCGGCCGUAACUAUAACGGUCCUAAGGUAGCGAAAUUCCUUGUCGGGUAAGUUCCGACCCGCACGAAAGGCGCAACGAUCUGGGCGCUGUCUCGGAGAGAGGCUCGGCGAAAUAGGAUUGUCUGUGAAGAUACGGACUACCUGCAUUUGGACAGAAAGACCCUAUGAAGCUUUACUAUAGCUUGGAAUUGUGUUCGGGCUUCCUGUGCGCAGGAUAGGUGGGAGGCGUAGAAGGUAUUCUUGUGGGGAUACUGGAGCCAACGGUGAGAUACCACUCUCAGGAGGCUAGAAUUCUAACUUAAUUAAGGACAGUUUCAGGUGGGUAGUUUGACUGGGGCGGUCGCCUCCAAAAAGGUAACGGAGGCGUACAAAGGUUCCCUCAGACUGGUUGGAAAUCAGUCGAAGAGUGCAAAGGCAGAAGGGAGCUUGACUGCGAGAAGUACAGUUCGAGCAGGGUGGAAACACGGUCUUAGUGAUCCGACGGUGCUGUGUGGAAGGGCCGUCGCUCAACGGAUAAAAGUUACUCUAGGAUAACAGGCUGAUCUCCCCCAAGAGUUCACAUCGACGGGGAGGUUUGGCACCUCGAUGUCGGCUCAUCGCAACCUGGGGCGGAAGUACGUCCCAAGGGUUGGGCUGUUCGCCCAUUAAAGCGGUACGUGAGCUGGGUUCAGAACGUCGUGAGACAGUUCGGUCCAUAUCCGAUGUAGGCGUGAGAAUAUUGAGAGGAGCCUUCCUUAGUACGAGAGGACCGGGAAGGACGCACCGCUGGUGUACCUGUUAUGAUGCCAAUUGUAAACGCAGGGUAGCCAAGUGCGGAGAGGAUAACCGCUGAAAGCAUCUAAGUGGGAAGCCCACCUCAAGAUGAGUAUUCUGGUGUAAGGUCACGGGAAGACGACCCGUAAAUAGGCACGAGGUGGAAGUGCAGAGAUGUAUGAAGCCGAAGUGUACUAAUAGACCGUCGGCUUGACC
rnacentral:rRNA from 1 species